rnacentral:tRNA from 1 species
GCCUCACUGGCUCAGUCGGAAGAGCAUGAGACUCUUGAUCUCGGGGUCAUGAGUUCAAGCCCCACGUUGGGUG